rnacentral:snRNA from 1 species
GUACUGGCUUCGGCAGCACAUAUACUAAAAUUGGAAUGAAACAGAGAAGAUUAGAAUAGCCCUUGCACAAGGAUGACACACAAAUUUGUGAAGUGUUCCAUAUGUUU